rnacentral:rRNA from 1 species
CGGCGUAGCUUAACACAUAGCAAAGUCGAACGCGAAAGGGACUUCGGUCCUGAGUAAAGUGGCGCACGGGUGAGUAACGCGUAGAUAACCUGUCUUCAUGUCUGGAAUAAUACGCCCGAAAGGGGUACUAAUACCGGAUAUUCUUGCUUUUCAUAAGUUAUGCAAGCAAAGGUGGCCUCUGCAUAUGCUACUGCAUGAAGAGGGGUCUGCGUACCAUUAGCUAGUAGGUGGGGUAAUGGCCUACCUAGGCGACGAUGGUUAGCGGGUCUGAGAGGAUGAUCCGCCACACUGGCACUGGAACACGGGCCAGACUCCUACGGGAGGCAGCAGUGAGGAAUAUUGCGCAAUGGGGGAAACCCUGACGCAGCGACGCCGCGUGAGUGAAGGAAGGCCUUCGGGUCGUAAAGCUCUGUCAAGAGGAAAGAAGUGUACAAUGGCUAAUACCUGUUGUAUUUGACGGUACCUCUAAAGGAAGCACCGGCUAACUCCGUGCCAGCAGCCGC